rnacentral:tRNA from 1 species
GCAUAAGUAGUUCAGCGUCAGAACGCCGCCCUUGUAAGUCGGAUGCCGGAGGUUAAAAUCCUCCCUUUUGCU